rnacentral:rRNA from 1 species
CACGUAGGGUGCGAGCGUUGUCCGGAAUUAUUGGGCGUAAAGAGCUCGUAGGCGGUGUGUCGCGUCGGCCGUGAAAACCUGCAGCUUAACUGUGGGCUUGCGGUCGAUACGGGCAUCACUGGAGUUCGGCAGGGGAGACUGGAAUUCCUGGUGUAGCGGUGAAAUGCGCAGAUAUCAGGAGGAACACCGAUGGCGAAGGCAGGUCUCUGGGCAUUAACUGACGCUGAGGAGCGAAAGCAUAGGGAGCGAACAGG